rnacentral:SRP_RNA from 1 species
GGCCGGGUGCCGUACAACAAGCCCCGCAAACCCCGUCAGGUCCGAGAGGAAGCAGCGGUAGCGGACAGUUUGUGUGUUGCGGUUUCUCCGGCCUUC